rnacentral:tRNA from 1 species
GGCUCAGUGGUCCAAUGGUAAAGCGCUCGUCACGAAAAUAGAGGGUCUUGGGUUCGAUCCCCAACAGGGUCG